AUUUCUGUCUUUGAAGGGUUGGAUGCCCCGUUCCUGCCGCUCAAACAGUCAGACAUGUGUCUGGUUUGCAUUGCGUUUGCCUCGUGGGUGCUGAAGACUGCAAAUCCACAAGUCGGAGAUGCUUGGAAGGCUGUUCUGCUGGCCAAUGUAAGUGCCCUGUCAGCCAUUCGAUACCUGCGUAAGUACGUCAAAGCGGAGGCGGCCGGCUGUGAAACGAAACUGCACCGCAGGGCGCUGCCUGCUCCUUCACCUCUCGGCCUCUAAAUAUGUCGAGGCUGAAGUGAUCCAUCUUUUCCAGAAAGUCUGCGGCGGAUUGUUGAAACACGUUUGCACUGUGAUUACUGAUCUUACGUCUCACUGAGCUUUCCAGAGAAAGUGUUUAUUUUAAGAGCAGUUAUUUAACUUGAGUGAAACUUUAACAUCCGAAAGUGUUCAGAAAAAAAAAUGAAACGACCAAAGGCAAGAUGAGGCAAGCUCAUCUGACUGAAAGAAGGCUUUAGAAAAAUCAGAUGCAUAAGUAUGUGUGAAACAAGCUUGGAGGUGAUGAGUGAUAAGUGGAUUAGUGUGAGAGACUGUAGAGAUUCAGGAGAAAUUUACACAAACCUGUUUCCAUUACAUGACUUUUGGUGGCAGAUGCUUCUAUUUAAAUCAACCAAACUUUUAAAAUAUUCUUACUCACAGUUAUUGUAUUUUACAGAUUUGCCACUGUAACCGCUCCCAUUCAGAAGCAUAAUUUAUUUAAGGGGGACAGCAUUCUGUGCCAGUAUCAGUUAUAUGUAUAUUAUAUAUUAUGUGAAUGGUAUUUUAUGUUAAUUACAGAGAUCUGUAUACUGUUGUCAUAUGUUGCACUGAGCUGUGGAUGUUGAUGAUAAUGGCAGUGAUGCCUUUCAGUUGAACUAAAGUAAACAGUGUAGGUUGUG